AAUCGAUUUCAAGGUUUCUGUAAAUAAAUAAAUACAAAUUGAAGAAGAAGAACGAUGGAGAAGAAGCAUGAACAAUGAAACAGGGGCAAAUCGUAAGUUGGCAUAUCUGAAAGUUUCUUUUUUCAAAUCCCAUCUCAAAAAUGGUUACCGAGAGGAAGCAAAUGUUUUUGGUCGACGGAGUAACGUGGUGGUGGUGGUCGAGAAAGAAGAAAGAAGGAGAUGAUACAGAUGACAGGGGUAAAACAGUCUUUUUCCCUAGCACAAAGUACUCUUUUUCAAAAUCCAACACAGAAAAACCUAAAUUCAAAGAUUUGGCAAAAAAAAGCCCUGUUUUGACAAUAAACCCUUUAAUUAGUUGAAACAAUUAUAGAAAUAAAAGGAAUAUUUGGCCACAAAAUAAAUAAAUAGUUUUAGCAAAGGUGUGUUUUCCCCUGUGCAUUACUCAAUCAUAAAUUUUACAAAAAUUUAUAGUCAAUGAGAUCCAUAAGAAUACAGAGAAAUUUUGAAUUGGUUAGAAAUAUGUUUGUU
rnacentral:sRNA from 1 species